GAUGAACGCUGGCGGCGUGCCUAAUACAUGCAAGUCGAGCGAAUGGAUUAAGAGCUUGCUCUUAUGAAGUUAGCGGCGGACGGGUGAGUAACACGUGGGUAACCUGCCCAUAAGACUGGGAUAACUCCGGGAAACCGGGGCUAAUACCGGAUAACAUUUUGAACCGCGUGGUUCGAAAUUGAAAGGCGGCUUCGGCUGUCACUUAUGGAUGGACCCGCGUCGCAUUAGCUAGUUGGUGAGGUAACGGCUCACCAAGGCAACGAUGCGUAGCCGACCUGAGAGGGUGAUCGGCCACACUGGGAAUGAGACACGGCCCAGACUCCUACGGGAGGCAGCAGUAGGGAAUCUUCCGCAAUGGACGAAAGUCUGACGGAGCAACGCCGCGUGAGUGAUGAAGGCUUUCGGGUCGUAAAACUCUGUUGUUAGGGAAGAACAAGUGCUAGUUGAAUAAGCUGACACCUUGACGGUACCUAACCAGAAAGCCACGGCUAACUACGUGCCAGCAGCCGCGGUAA
rnacentral:rRNA from 1 species